GAUGAACGCUGGCGGCGUGCCUAAUGCAUGCCAGUCGAGCGAACAGACGAGGAGCUUGCUCCUCUGACGUUAGCGGCGGACGGGUGAGUAACACGUGGAUAACCUACCUAUAAGACUGGGAUAACUUCGGGAAACCGGAGCUAAUACCGGAUAAUAUAUUGAACCGCAUGGUUCAAUAGUGAAAGACGGUUUUGCUGUCACUUAUAGAUGGAUCCGCGCCGCAUUAGCUAGUUGGUAAGGUAACGGCUUACCAAGGCGACGAUGCGUAGCCGACCUGAGAGGGAGAUCGGCCACACUGGAACUGAGACACGGUCCAGACUCCUACGGGAGGCAGCAGUAGGGAAUCUUCCGCAAUGGGCGAAAGCCUGACGGAGCAACGCCGCGUGAGUGAUGAAGGUCUUCGGAUCGUAAAACUCUGUUAUUAGGGAAGAACAAAUGUGUAAGUAACUAUGCACGUCUUGACGGUACCUAAUCAGAAAGCCACGGCUAACUACGUG
rnacentral:rRNA from 1 species